rnacentral:rRNA from 1 species
GCCUAUCAGCUUGUUGGUGGGGUAACGGCCUACCAAGGCAUCGACGGGUAGCUGGUCUGAGAGGAUGAUCAGCCACACUGGGACUGAGACACGGCCCAGACUCCUACGGGAGGCAGCAGUGGGGAAUCUUGCGCAAUGGGCGAAAGCCUGACGCAGCAACGCCGCGUGCGGGAAGAAGGCUCUCGGGUUGUAAACCGCUUUCAGCAGGAACGAAAAUGACGGUACUUGCAGAAGAAGGUGCGGCCAACUACGUGCCAGCGGCCGCGGUGACACGUAGGCACCAAGCGUUGUCCGGAUUUAUUGGGCGUAAAGAGCUCGUAGGCGGUUCGGUAAGUCGGGUGUGAAAACUUUGGGCUUAACCCAAAGCCUGCAUCCGAUACUGCUGUGACUAGAGUUCGGUAGGGGAGUGGGGAAUUCCUAGUGUAGCGGUGAAAUGCGCAGAUAUCAGGAGGAACACCGGUGGCGAAGGCGCCACUCUGGGCCGAAACUGACGCUGAGGAGCGAAAGCGUGGGUAGCAAACAGGAUUAGAUACCCUGGUAGUCCACGCCGUAAACGAUGGGCACUAGGUGU